AUUUUCAACGGUGGAUAUCUUGGUUCCCAUAUCGAUGAAGAACGCAGCCAAAUGCGAUACGCAAUGCGAAUUGCAGAAUUCCGCGAGUCAUCAGAUCUUUGAACGCAAAUGGCGCUGGGUUAAACAAUACCCCGGCAUAUUUGCUUCAGUG
rnacentral:rRNA from 1 species